rnacentral:lncRNA from 10 species
AUAAGCCUCUACUGCACUUAUUGGAAUAAAUUCCCUUUCUGCUUCUCAGUGCCAACUUUUAAAUCGUGGGCUUGGGGAGUGAAGAAUCCUAAGGUUUCCUUCCUCGUACUGAGAUGGGAUUGUUCCCUUGACCCCCUUCAUGGGUAGAAAUUGGAGUGGCUCCUUUCAGUUGGAAAGGCGAUGGUGCAGAAAGAAGACGAUCUUUCCCUAAGCCACACCUCUGAAGUUAUCCACGUCUAUCCAUAGUCUGCAACACUCAGCCACUCAUAUCCCCGACGUUCAGCAGCUUGGAUCCCCAAUGCCCAGCUGCUUGCAUGCUACUUCCUGCUGAAAGGGGACACUGUUUGCAGAAAAUGGCAAUCAGAUUCCUCCCAGAGAUUUACCUAAGGAUCCCCGGCAAAAGGGAGCCAUCGUCCGAGGCUCUGGCUGCCUGCCUAUUUGGAGCCCUGAUGGCCUCCAGGAGAGAGAAAAAAACAAGCUUUACAAGGUUAAAUAUGCAUGGAUCAAACGUGCAUUAUGCAAGGAAAGAAUUUAUUGCCAAAGAUUACAGAAAUAAGAAGUGAAAUAUACUAACAAGAUUGUACCCCAAGCUGUCUCACCCCGGUGAAAAAAAUUAAAUCUUGUAUGGGAGUGGUUACACUUUGA